rnacentral:tRNA from 1 species
GGGGCUAUAGCUCAGAUGGGAGAGCGCUACAAUGGCAUUGUAGAGGUCGGCGGUUCGAUCCCGCCUAGCUCCACCA